AUACGAAGGGGGCUAGCGUUGUUCGGAAUCACUGGGCGUAAAGCGCACGUAGGUGGACUAAUUAGUUGAGGGUGAAAUCCCGGGGCUUAACCUCGGAACUGCCUUCAAUACUGUUAGUCUUGAGUCCGAGAGAGGUGAGUGGAAUUCCUAGUGUAGAGGUGAAAUUCGUAGAUAUUAGGAAGAACACCAGUGGCGAAGGCGGCUCACUGGCUCGGUACUGACGCUGAGGUGCGAAAGCGUGGGGGGCAAACAGGAUUAGAAACCCUAGUAGUCC
rnacentral:rRNA from 1 species